UACAGACAACCCCUUUGUAGCGAAAAUUCAAUUGCUGUAACAAGAGAAAAAUUUGGAAGGCCUGGUGUUUCGGGAAGAAAACGAAAAGUAGAUCAAGUUGAAAUUAAUCAUCCUGACAACAGUACCCUCUCAAAAACAGCUCGAGUUAAGUUGGCUAAUGUGGUACAAGGUGAGGAUGACAUAAGCAUAAAAAAACAUCAAGAUGCUUUAAAAAAAGAAAUAAAAAAACAGACACCAAGCUUUGAUAUAAUCAAAGAUAAAAUGAAAAGAACUUGUGAGUACAGACAACUUUUCUGCCAUGCCCACAAAACUGCAGAAGUUCUGGAAGAAUUUCCGUGUUUAUGACUAAAUAUUUUUCCCUUUAUGAUGGUGUGAUCAAAGAAGCAGCCAAAAGAUGCAAAAAAUAUUGUGAAUAUUCAAGAAUGAUAAACAAAUAUUUAGAAGAAACUUUGGACAAUGAUAAACAACAGGAUUAGAAGGUGAUGUUUGUUACAUUGCUGUUACCCUCAUUAUUUGGGGAGAAAGAAGAAUUGUUUUUUCCCUUACCAAAGCAGCAAAUACCACUUAGUCCAGUCAUAUUGUCACAAGACGACGAGUGGAAUAUAUCAGUCGACAAGGAAGUUUUGUUUCCUAAAACUAUUUGCACUUUUUCCGCGGCUUUUCAAGCAUGGUUUGCAGCAUUUUGGAUAUUCAGCAUUGAAUUCCCAAAAGGAUUGUCCAAUACAUGUCAAUUUUUAGAAAAAGUGCUUCUUGGUGGGAAAGGAAAAGUGCCAAAUAUUGUCAGCAAAUGGGGCAACCGUCUUUUGCACUAAAAUUUAUGACUUUUGUUUUUUGUUGUAAAUCUUUAUAAUUUAUUUAUGUUUUUUUGUCACUAAAUUCGAAAAAACUUCUGAAUAUUUGCAAUAUUUCUAAAUUUUAUUAUAUUUUAUUGUGCUA
rnacentral:misc_RNA from 1 species